GACGAACGCUGGCGGCGUGCUUAACACAUGCAAGUCGAACGGAAAGGCCCUGCUUUUGUGGGGUGCUCGAGUGGCGAACGGGUGAGUAACACGUGAGUAACCUGCCCUUGACUUUGGGAUAACUUCAGGAAACUGGGGCUAAUACCGGAUAGGAGCUCCUGCUGCAUGGUGGGGGUUGGAAAGUUUCGGCGGUUGGGGAUGGACUCGCGGCUUAUCAGCUUGUUGGUGGGGUAGUGGCUUACCAAGGCUUUGACGGGUAGCCGGCCUGAGAGGGUGACCGGCCACAUUGGGACUGAGAUACGGCCCAGACUCCUACGGGAGGCAGCAGUGGGGAAUAUUGCACAAUGGGCGGAAGCCUGAUGCAGCAACGCCGCGUGCGGGAUGACGGCCUUCGGGUUGUAAACCGCUUUCGCCUGUGACGAAGCGUGAGUGACGGUAAUGGGUAAAGAAGCACCGGCUAACUACGUGCCAGCAGCCGCGGUGAUACGUAGGGUGCGAGCGUUGUCCGGAUUUAUUGGGCGUAAAGGGCUCGUAGGUGGUUGAUCGCGUCGGAAGUGUAAUCUUGGGGCUUAACCCUGAGCGUGCUUUCGAUACGGGUUGACUUGAGGAAGGUAGGGGAGAAUGGAAUUCCUGGUGGAGCGGUGGAAUGCGCAGAUAUCAGGAGGAACACCAGUGGCGAAGGCGGUUCUCUGGGCCUUUCCUGACGCUGAGGAGCGAAAGCGUGGGGAGCGAACAGGCUUAGAUACCCUGGUAGUCCACGCUGUAAACGGUGGGUACUAGGUGUGGGGUCCAUUCCACGGGUUCCGUGCCGUAGCUAACGCUUUAAGUACCCCGCCUGGGGAGUACGGCCGCAAGGCUAAAACUCAAAGGAAUUGACGGGGCCCCGCACAAGCGGCGGAGCAUGCGGAUUAAUUCGAUGCAACGCGUAGAACCUUACCUGGGUUUGACAUGGAUCGGGAGCGCUCAGAGAUGGGUGUGCCUCUUUUGGGGUCGGUUCACAGGUGGUGCAUGGCUGUCGUCAGCUCGUGUCGUGAGAUGUUGGGUUAAGUCCCGCAACGAGCGCAACCCUUGUUCACUGUUGCCAGCACGUUAUGGUGGGGACUCAGUGGAGACCGCCGGGGUCAACUCGGAGGAAGGUGGGGAUGACGUCAAGUCAUCAUGCCCCUUAUGUCCAGGGCCUCACGCAUGCUACAAUGGCUGGUACAGAGAGUGGCGAGCCUGUGAGGGUGAGCGAAUCUCGGAAAGCCGGUCUCAGUUCGGAUUGGGGUCUGCAACUCGACCUCAUGAAGUCGGAGUCGCUAGUAAUCGCAGAUCAGCAACGCUGCGGUGAAUACGUUCCCGGGGCU
rnacentral:rRNA from 1 species